rnacentral:rRNA from 1 species
UACAGAGACUGCAAGCGUUAUUCGGAUUCACUGGGCGUAAAGGGUGCGCAGGCGGCCAAGUGUGUGAGGCGUGAAAGCCCGGGGCUCAACCCCGGAACUGCUUCGAAACUGCUGAGCUAGAGUACAGAAGGGGCAACCGGAAUUCCCAGUGUAGCGGUGAAAUGCGUAGAUAUUGGGAAGAACACCUGAGGCGAAGGCGGGUUGCUGGGCUGAGUACUGACGCUGAGGCGCGAAAGCCAGGGGAGCAAACGGG